rnacentral:tRNA from 2 species
GAUUCCGUAGCUCAGCUGGGAGAGCGCAUGCUUGACAGGCAUGAGGUCGUUGGUUCGAGCCCAAUCGGAAUCACUA